rnacentral:rRNA from 1 species
AGCCAGCAGCCGCGGUAAUACGUAGGGGGCAAGCGUUAUCCGGAUUUAUUGGGCGUAAAGCGCGCGUAGGCGGCUUGUUAAGCGAGAUGUGAAAACCGGGGGCUUAACCCGCGGCCUGCAUCUCGAACUGGCAGGCUUGAGUCUGGUAGAGGAAAGUGGAAUUCCCAGUGUAGCGGUGAAAUGCGCAGAUAUUGGGAGGAACACCAGUGGCGAAGGCGGCUUUCUGGGCCACGACUGACGCUGAGGCGCGAAAGCUAGGGGAGCGAACAGGAUUAGAUACCCUGGUAGUCCUAGCCGUAAACGAUGGGCACUAGGUGUGGGGGGUCACCAACUCCCUCCGUGCCGCAGCUAACGCAUUAAGUGCCCCGCCUGGGGAGUACGGCCGCAAGGCUAAAACUCAAAGGAAUUGACGGGGGCCCGCACA